rnacentral:rRNA from 1 species
CCUACGGGAGGCAGCAGUGGGGAAUUUUGGACAAUGGGCGCAAGCCUGAUCCAGCAAUGCCGCGUGAGUGAAGAAGGCCUUCGGGUUGUAAAGCUCUUUUGUCAGGGAAGAAACGGUGAGGGCUAAUAUCCUUUGCUAAUGACGGUACCUGAAGAAUAAGCACCGGCUAACUACGUGCCAGCAGCCGCGGUAAUACGUAGGGUGCAAGCGUUAAUCGGAAUUACUGGGCGUAAAGCGUGCGCAGGCGGUUUUGUAAGUCUGUCGUGAAAUCCCCGGGCUCAACCUGGGAAUUGCGAUGGAGACUGCAAGGCUAGAAUCUGGCAGAGGGGGGUAGAAUUCCACGUGUAGCAGUGAAAUGCGUAGAGAUGUGGAGGAACACCGAUGGCGAAGGCAGCCCCCUGGGUCAAGAUUGACGCUCAUGCACGAAAGCGUGGGGAGCAAACAGGAUUAGAUACCCUGGUAGUCCACGCCCUAAACGAUGUCUACUAGUUGUUACGGGUUUUAAUUAACGUUGGUAACGCAGCGUACGUCGUGAGUAGACCGACCGUCGGGUAGGUACGGUCGCGAGAAGUAAACGUAACGAAGUAGAGUAGACGGCGUGAGACGUGACGACGGACGACGACGAGGGAGGAGG